ensembl:lncRNA
CAAUUAGAGGAGACAAAAGCAGUGUAAAGAUAACUCAAUGAGAGGGGGUGGCACAACAUCAUGUAAUCUUUUAAGACAGCAGUGAGCAUUCACUGGGCGAGCUGCGCUGGGCCUAUUCACCUUCUUUACUUCCCUCUGGAUGCAUUUAAGUCUUUUUUUGCUGGGAAGCCGGGCCUCCCAGGAGUCCCAGAGUCUCUCAUUCAGGGCUACCUGUUUACAGCUCACCGAACAGAAGGACCUAAACAAUCCUAUAUUGUACGCCUGUUGCUUCCUUAAACUUAGGCCUCCACAAUGGCAUGUUUUCAGAAGCUGGGCAGAAUAAGUUAAAGGCUGGCUUUAUACUCAUUAAGUGUUCUCCUUGUACUGUCUUCUAAUUACAUGGCAGGGCAACAAUGUAUUUUUUUUCUUCAAUGGAGUUCUUUGGAGCAGUUAAUUUGGUGCCUAUACUAAAUGCCCCAAAACAUUAAUUAGUGUGGAAGGAACCCUAAUUUCCUCGGUGGCUUUCCUCUCCAUUUACUUCCCUUGUUUUCACAUAGGCUUGGAUGAGCCUCUAUAAUGAAAUUACCUCAUUAAUGCCUUUAUUCUUGCAGAGUAACUCAUUCAAGAUCUACCAUUUAGUUUUAAUUUAAUGCUGUCAAAAGCAAAAGGUGCAUUCAUGUCUUUGAUUAGUGCUUUUUUCCCCCCUCUCUAAAGAGUGGACAGAUUUAAAUUAUUAAGAUGGCAAGUAGUGAGUUAUAAUUGGAUACAAGCAGCACUUCAGUGAAUAUUAAAUGCUUUCAAAGCCUGGUCUAUGUGGUCUGCUGACUAUUAACUGUGUCCAGUGAGUAAUUUGGUGGGUUUUGAAUUAACGGCACCUUAGCCACUGUGAAGCAAAUUAAGUUUAAUUUUGUUUAUAAAAAACAAUGAAGCUGCAUUUAUCAACAUGACGGUCGGUCGUAACAGAGUUCAGUUUUUCCCAUUGUCCUGCACUGACCUCAUCGCUCGGUUACUUUUGCUAACACGGGCUCUCAUCCUGUACGUCACAGUCACGCAAAGUCUAGAUGGAGACCUGAUUAUGUAUGGCCAGCAAGACAGAGCCUUUCAAUUGCAAGAACAGCUGGGUUCUUCACACCGUCAGGAAGAAACCACCCCAUCCACACAUGACCACGUUUUUCCCUUCCUCCACACCUGUGCAAUACUUCCCAGCCGCCAAACUCCAAACAUUUUACAGAGAUGGGGACACCUCACCCAGAAAGAACUGAACAACAAAAGGAAAGGAGAGAGGUACUGGAAAACUGCUGUUGCAGCAUGGAAAAAGCAACAACAACAACAACAACAACAAGAAUGUAUUUCCACAGCAACGAUUUUCUGUACACGAAACGUAGUGGGGUUUAUACAGGAGGUGGUGUGCAGUGGUUGUCCUGCAUCUGCACCGGCAGUUUGUACCCUGCAUUGCUGCAGUGCAGCCUGCCCUCCCUCUGCGUUUCAACCUUGUGCCAAAGGGGUCAUGGCUAAGGGCAGGAGUGUGACGAUGCUAAUGUUGCCUCCGCUCUUCUGGGUUAGGAGAAGCUGGAUCUCAGGCUACUGGGGGCUUUCAUUAACUGUAGUAGGUUUAAAUUAAGCUUUGCCCUUAUUUAUUUAUUUUUUUUAAUAAAUAGUUUGUGUUUAUGUAUUGAUAAACAUCGUUUCUCUAACAGUGAGGAUUACCAGUUUGUUUUACCCCAGGAAGGUAUGUAUGAGAAUCCUUGAGCAAAUAGAAGUCUUUGGGUUUUUGGACUAGUGAUGUUUCCAAAGUACUGGGCUUUCCCUGUGAAGCACACAAGGGAAAUACAACAUCCUUAGGGAGAGAUUUUUUUUCUUCACUUAGGAUUUGGUGUAAAAUUUCAGUCUGGUUUUAACUACAGCUCUCCUUUAAGGCUUAAAAUAUGACAAUACGUUAAUCCUUAUUUUUAUAGAUGUGAGUAAUUCCUGCUACAGGUUUUCGAUUCACCUACAGGAACACUCAGGUUUGGAUAUCUCCCCAUUAUCUGACUUCUAACUCUGGAUUUCAGCUGGGCUGCAUGAGAUCCCUCUCAUAACAAAUGGGGUUUUUAUGCAUGUGUGUUUUUCCAGUUCAUAGUGCCUGGGACAGAGCAAGCACUACGACCUUGGAGAGCUUACACUGCCUACUGCACAGUGUAGCAUCGGGGUAUACAGUCUGAAGUAUAAAACCUGAAGAAGGCAGCAAAGAGUUUGAGGAACCAGUUCUGAUACAGUCUCAUGUGCACUCUCCAUUGCCAGCUCUGUGGUGCACUAGAUCUCUCUCAUAAAUUGCUAUUUAGCACAGUUCAAGAGUUGUACAGUAUUAGUGAUAGUAAGUGUUCCUCUGAGCCACACGAAGGCCCCAGUCCAGGUAUUUCUCUCAGUGUAAUAUAUGCUGCCAAAUUUGUGUGUUUCUGAAUAUCCAGCAGCAUUCACUCCCAGCUCUCCAUUAGUCCAGUGACCGAGGCACUUGCUCAAGAAGCAAGGUAACCUGUCCAAUUCUCUUUUCAUCUGUAGGAAGCAUGCACAUUUCAAAUCACCACACCAUGUCUUUCCAGGAGAAAGGGUAAGGAAUGAGUCUGGCCAUUCACUUACUGCCUUUUGAAGCAGGGCAUCGUGCAGAAACAGUCAGAGAGGGCAGACAAGACCCUUCAGCUGGGAGCUGUUUGGUGUCUGCUCCAAGAACAGUUCCCAUAUUUCAUGUUUGUGUGAAAUACAGUGCUAGAGAGAAAUACAGUGGGAGCCUUUUCUCCAAGGUUCAUGGCCUUUCUGUAGGAUACCAUGAUUGUAAGUCACCUGCAAAGCUCAGCUUCUCCCUCUGGUCCAGGGAAUAUCCGACAGGGAGAGCAACUAAGGAGCUUGUUCACCAGAUGAACCCAGAAAUAUAACUGUGUGGCUACAGAUAGCAGCUCUGUGAAAAUCUGGGCUUAGUAUGAGUGUUGAUCCCAAGCCUUAUUUGCCACCACUUGAAGACACUGUAGGACACAUACGCAUAACCUCUAAUGGGUGCCUAUGCUCAGGCAGAAGACAAGCACAGGGAAGGAAGCAUAGCUGUGAUCAGCAAGAAUCACAACUGAAAAACUACAGGGAUCAACUGAAGUGACACACCAUUUAAUUCAUCAGCAGGUAGCAGCAAAAACAAACAGCAGAACCUGUGUCUACAGAGCAGAUGCAAGAAGAGAAGUGAGGGAACGGUGCAUAAAAGGCAGAAGGCUGGCAGAGCUGUCGGGCAAUGGGAUGGGCACAGGGUCCUCCAGGGAAGCUUGUGCUGUGCUAAGAAAGAAGCACAGCAGGCUUGGCCUGAUUCUGUCCUUGCUGGCCCACAGUGAGCACCUUAAGGCAGCAGAGUGGGCAAUGCCUCACUGUGCAGAUGUGCCAUGUUUGGCAGCUCCUUUGCAGCUGCCAUGUGCUCGCACCUUUGGAUUGUGGGGCCAAGCAAUGCUGCAUGUGAAGGAAGUGAGAUGGACUAAAAGCAACUGCUUCGACAGGGUUACUUUCAAAUCCCCUGAUGAAAGUACACAGUACUUUUACACAGUACCCUCCUGUUACUAGUGCUGAUGUGCAGGAGGAAACAGAAAGAGAAGCAGAGAAGGAUGAGAUGAGAUGAAAGGGUCUCGACCACUGAUGGAAUGAAUUGCUAGUCUGUCCUCGAGUUGGAGAUAGCAUAAAGCAACUUUUAGGGAAGCCCACACAGCCGAGGAGCACAUCUUUGCUAUUUGUUUUCAAGGAGUAUUCUUAGUAUUGGCAGUAAGGUGCAAACUGGGAAUUAACCACACGGUGACACAUGAUUGCUUGCCAGAGCUGAUAGACUCAAGCCACCGUUGGCGAAACUAAUGUGGCCGUGCAGAGACUGCGGUGCGAGAGUGCCCCCUGUUGUUCCAAUGAGACUUGUAAGAGCUCUGAAUCAGUCAUACACGGCAAAGGGGCUGCAUAGCGUUGGAAGGUGGCUUUAAGUGGAGAAAACGGCACGUAGUGGGAGGCUGACAAAGCCAGGAGGGUGUGUGGCAAAGCACUAGAAGAGCACAACGAGAACCAAGAGGCAUGUGCUCCUACAGGGCAGAAUCUCUUAUUACUCUGGCAAAAACGUGGCUGUAAGGUCAUGCAUUACUCAGGCUAUAGUGAGGAGUCUGAGAAGUGGAAAAUCUCUGCUGCAUCGCAUAAGAGCAAGAGAAAUACCACCACGAAUUAAUGGUUUAUGUGCAGCCCACACUUUGCUCCCUGCAGCACAAGAACAGUCUUACUUAGGCACACGUAAGUACCUCUCUCUGCCUUCCACUUAGCAGGAUACCUUUGAAAGGCCUCUAAAGGCAGAUAAAGUCCUGCUUUGGCAAAAUCUUUCCUCCUGUUUGCUGGAACCCUGGAUAUCAUCUACCCUGCAUACUUCAGAGAUUUUAUUUCUGUAUGUCAUCCCUGCACUGUUGAAUUCCUUCUGAUGACCUGGGGCUAUGAGGAACACCUGGUUUAGUCUUUUAUUCAGUUUGAUCAAAGGAGCACUGACACAGCCAAGCAUUUGGCUGAAUGAGCGCUUUGCUAUGAAUAGCACAGAUAUUUGGACUCAAGUGUAUGUUAGCAGCAAUCAAUUGAAAUCUUCAUAACAAAGGCCUGUGGGAACUAAAGGUGGAUGAAAGAAGAGGAAAAGAUGCUUUGUAGGGCUAGGUUAGGACAUAAAGACCUGCAUCUUGUAAGCAGGUCAGCUGUUCCACACAGAGCCAGCAGCAUGCAGACACUGGUAUUCUGCCUCGUCCCCCCAUCACCAACAAUAAAGUGGCUAUGGUGAAUGCAGGCUGAAAUUCACAUCACAUACUGGUGAAUGUGGCAUAACCACCCAGGACUGGGUAGGCUGAGUGACUGCGGGAGCAGAAAGCUAGUUAAUUAAUUAGUAUUAAUGCAAUACUAGGAUGGGGAGAGUUUGCAUGCUACCCAGGUCUAUAGAUUACAUACUGACGUGAAAUAUAGAACGGUUAUUAGGGGCAGCAAGUGAAAGCAAUUGUUCUCCUGACAGCAACAGCAGUGACAUCAGAGGAAACUAGCAAGCAAUAGGAUGAUGGUUCCUAUUUUGAAAAUAUUCAAUGCAUAUUGCUUUUGAAGAUACGCACUGGGGAAACAGAGCAACACCGAUGAAGAAAACAGGCAGCAAAAAGCUAUCUGAUUGAGCUGUUACAUGGGCUUAUCACUUUGAGAUAAAAUGGGGCUUUCUCCAUCAGCUAUAAUGCUUAUGUGUGCUUUGAGUUUAUGGAGACAAAGUUUUUAUCACAGAACCUAACAGGGAACCACAGUCAAAGCUUAGGUCAGAUGCUAUAAAAGUAGAAUCAUCCAGUGAUCCUAGUAGUUUAAUUCAUUGUGGGAGAAUCUCCUGAGAACCAGCAACUUGAAGAACAGCUGUUUGACCCAUAUUGUUGAUUGCAAAUUGUUUAAGGAAGAAUGAACAGAAGAGUCUGAGGAGGUGUAGGGACAAGGAAGGAAAGUUUUGGGAGGAAGGGAGAAAGAGAAGGAAAAUAUAAGUGCUCUGAGUGACCAAAGUGUUUAAGGCUGGAGAGACUGGUUUGCACAUCCGAAGGUCUGAGUGGGGAUAAUGCAUACCUACAGCCAAGCCACUGGAGCAGACUGAUCAGUUCUUCCCCAUGCAGAGUUCAUGGCUGUGAGAACAAAAACCACUGAUGGAUGCAGCACUGCUCCUGGGAACAUAAAACAUGGAUAUUCUCACUGAUUUAUUGUGGUAACUGCUUAUAGUUUUAAUUAGAAGGGAUGCAGGUACACUCCAUGUUUGUAAUCACAAUCAGCAACAGAAGGCUGACCUUUCCCAUCAAAACAAAUAUAGCUUCACCUGUAAUCAAAUUAAAUGGCUGACCAUUUGGUUUACCUAUAAAGACCUCUAAUUCUUAACUCAACCCUCCAAC